rnacentral:rRNA from 1 species
ACGUAGGGUGCGAGCGUUAAUCGGAAUUACUGGGCGUAAAGCGUGCGCAGGCGGUUUUGUAAGAUAGGCGUGAAAUCCCCGGGCUUAACCUGGGAACUGCGUUUAUGACUGCAAAGCUAGAGUACGGCAGAGGGGGGUGGAAUUCCACGUGUAGCAGUGAAAUGCGUAGAGAUGUGGAGGAACACCAAUGGCGAAGGCAGCCCCCUGGGUCGAUACUGACGCUCAUGCACGAAAGCGUGGGUAGCAAACAG